AAAAAAAAAGGUGAUUGCAAAACGGCCUCAGGAACAGAAAGAGCCCAGGCAAUCCUCACUUCUUUUCUACUAAAACCCAGUAAUCCCUAGAGGGAGAAAGGGCGUCUCCUGCAGUAUUCCAGUGAAACUCGCUGGUUUUGCUCGAAUUAGACACUUGAACUAUGUUUUUAGAACUCUUCAUCUUAAAAGAAGUGGUUUAGUACUCCAAAUGCUGUGUAUUAUGACAGUGUCUUCCUCUGACGUAUUUAUAAUGUUAAGAUUAUGUGGGCAACAGACAAUAUAAUAACCCUAACCUUAAAUGAAGUUUAUCUACUUCUGAAUACAUCUGGCUAGAUGAAAGCAAAACACAAUGUCCUCUGAUUAUUCGGAACACAGUCUGAUGCUGAUGGCCUGUCCAUUGUAUCCAGUGAGAAAAGAGGCCAGGACACUGAGGCAGGCUGAAUCAAAACUUGAACAGAAGUGUUGUGUGUAUCACCUCAUUUUCACGCAUUUCAAGUGUGCUGGCACCUGACAUUUUAAACUUCCAACAACAGAAUUGUUCAAGAGAUGUUCAAGAGAUGUUCUGAGUAGCUGAGUGACAGUGCAAGGAGGUGCAUGGUUCCUGACGAAAGAAUCAGACAGUGAAGUCUUCUCAGUUGAGACAGACAAAUAGAAAAUCUGUUUCUCACAUAACUACAGCGAUAACAGAAAAUAUUGUAAGAGGAUGAGCUAUUUUUGCCAGUGCAUCAUUGAACAAAAAAGUUUCAAAGACUCAUUAGCUGUUUACUUCUGUUGGAAAUUAACGUUGAGCUCUAAAAGUUUUCCAUAGUGUUGAGAUGUAACUCCCCCAUGUCAUACCACAUGUUGUUCCCCAUCAUAAAAUGUUGUUCCCCAUGUCA
rnacentral:lncRNA from 1 species